UUUCUCGAUUUCUUGUCAGUUAUGAUACCAUUGAACUAAUUUCCUUCAUAUGAUAGUUGUUUGACAUCAUCAAAUUACUCGAAGCUAUCACGCUUGCAUGAAAAACACGAGAAUCAAGGCAAUUAAGAAAAUCAAUUAUGGCUCCUUCUAGGAAAUCUAGAAGCGUAAAUUAAGAGGUUUUCUAGUGUUCGUGAGGCUGGUUCUAGUAAAGACAAAAUUAAAGAGAAUGCUAGCAAAAAUAGGCUGAAGAAGAGAAAAUUGGCUAACAUAUUAGGGCCACAAUGGAAUAAGGAGGAGCUUGAGCAUUUCUAUGAAGCUUACAGUAAAUAUAGGAAAGAUUGGAAGAAGGUUAGUUCUAGUCUAGUCAUAAGGUGCUUUUUAUUGAAUAAAAGGCUAUAGGUCAAAUUUCACGAUCAAG